rnacentral:rRNA from 1 species
AGUGAACGCUGGCGGUAGGCCUAACACAUGCAAGUCGAACGGAAGCACAGUAAGAGCUUGCUCUUACGGGUGGCGAGUGGCGGACGGGUGAGGAAUACAUCGGAAUCUACUUUUUCGUGGGGGAUAACGAAGGGAAACUUACGCUAAUACCGCAUACGACCUACGGGUGAAAGCAGGGGAUAUUCGGACCUUGCGCGAUUGAAUGAGCCGAUGUCGGAUUAGCUAGUUGGCGGGGUAAAGGCCCACCAAGGCGACGAUCCGUAGCUGGUCUGAGAGGAUGGUCGGCCACACUGGAACUUAGCCACGGUCCUUGCUCCUACGGUAGGCACUAGUGUCGAAUAUUGGACAAAGGUCGCAAGCCUGAUCCAGCCACCCCGCGUGUGUGACGAAGGCCUUCCGUUUGUAAUGACCUUUUGUUGGUUAUGAAAAGCAUCCGCUUAUUACCCCGCUUUUCUGACGGUACCCAAAGAAUAAGCACCGGCUAACUUCGUG